UUACCAUUGAAAGACGCCUGUCGUUCAUCUUCUAGGUUUUCGUCUGUGGCGCAAGAGAGCUCUCAACCAUGGGAUGCCUGAUAUUGUACUACAUUGACUGCCAUUGAAGAAACGAAAUCUCCCAUAACAAAAUCGUGCUUAUAUCAAAAUCACUCAAGGCUCAAGUGGAAACCGUUCUCCACCCAAUUAAGUCGCCGUAUCUCAGCACCUCUCCCGCCUAACAAAGUGGAGCAAUCCUCUCCCUAAGGUUAAAGUUUGAGAUAGCUAAUGAGUUCCAAUCAAAACAGAUUCAGAUAUACAUUGGGAGCAUAUGAGAAGUUGUUUUUUGUUGUAUAUGUUCUAGCUGCUAAACAAUAUUCGGGAAGUUGCUUUUUGUUCUAUAUAUGUUUUAGCUUCUUAACAGUACUACUUAUGUUCUAACUAGCUAUUAGGUUAACUAUGACUGUAGUUGCUAUUGUUUAUGACUU